GAUGAACGCUGGCGGCGUGCCUAAUACAUGCAAGUCGAGCGAAUGACGAGGAGCUUGCUCCUCUGAUUUAGCGGCGGACGGGUGAGUAACACGUGGGUAACCUGCCUGUAAGACGGGGAUAACUCCGGGAAACCGGAGCUAAUACCGGAUGAUAACGAGAAGCGCCUGCUUCUUUUUUGAAAGCCGGUUUCGGCUGACGCUUACAGAUGGGCCCGCGGCGCAUUAGCUAGUUGGUGAGGUAACGGCUCACCAAGGCGACGAUGCGUAGCCGACCUGAGAGGGUGAUCGGCCACACUGGGACUGAGACACGGCCCAGACUCCUACGGGAGGCAGCAGUAGGGAAUCUUCGGCAAUGGACGAAAGUCUGACCGAGCAACGCCGCGUGAGCGAUGAAGGCCUUCGGGUCGUAAAGCUCUGUUGUCAGAGAAGAACAAGUACCGGAGUAACUGCCGGUACCUUGACGGUACCUGACCAGAAAGCCACGGCUAACUACGUGCCAGCAGCCGCGGUAAUAC
rnacentral:rRNA from 1 species